AAGGAAUUGAUAUUCUUAACUUGUGAGCGGGCAGUAGGGCAAUGAAACUCGGUAAAGUGGGUACAAAAAAUGUACACCGUCAAUGAAGUUCGAAUUCCACAGUACUACAAGGUAUAACUGGUUAGACAUCUUUAACCAACAAAAAUAUCAGAUGGAUCAAGUUGUAUCUACAAUUACUUGCACAGUGCUCAAGGAAAAGUAAAAAUUGCUUGUGGAUUACUUUUGUCCAACCAUUGCCGCUUUUGCAUGGACCGCCUUUUUUGUAUUGACCACCGAUUCAGCAGCACCCGCCUUUUAAACCCUAUCGCAAUACAACACAAUACAAAUUCGAAUACUCUUGUAAUUCUAAAGCAAUCACUCGUUACAAAAUGAAGGCCAAGAGAGCCGCUUUUUUUCAGAAACAUGUGCCGAGUGCAUAUAAUAUAGUACAUGAUGGGUUACUGUUACCUGGAACAACUAGAAAACUAAAAAAAUAACCAAAUAUCAAAGCUUUGUUUUAAAGGCGUCCAUUAGUCAGUAGCCUCGUCUAUUUUUCGCAUCUAACUUUUAUCCGCAUCGUUUGGUUCCGAUUCUUUCAAAUGCCUAAUAACAAUUGUAGAUACCGCUCACCAAAACACUGGGAAUUCAAGACUAUCCCAAACUACGGAAAAAGUACAAUGAUAGGUAGUUAUUUACAUACAAGUCCAGAAAAUGAUACAUUACUGGCGAGGAAAUAUUGAAGUGCGGGGCCCCUUUAGGGGGCCGAGUACUUUGUUUUCCGAGUCAGGGUAUGUCACUUUACUGACGAGUACUUAUUAAAUUUUACCCGAAAUCGUAUUUUAACAUAAAAUUUCAAUUUUUAUAUAGAACUUUUAAUUAAUGUCAAUCUAUCAGUGAUCACAAGAGUCAUUAUAAACAUUUGGAAAAGUCACAAAUGCGGCCGGUAAAGUAACGGUGCGGCCGGUAAAGUGACAAGUGGCAGGAAACGUAGCUUGCGUAGUCUGUACUGCCUCUGUCAUUGAAACUAACAUUUGCUGACAGAAAGUAGGCUAGAAAAUUAAGGUUUCAGGGCGAUUUUGGGUAAAAAUGUUAGUAACAAUAAUAAUAAAAAUGACUUGCGAAGAUGUGCCAACUUUAGCAUUUGGAGGUGGCAAUUCAAGAUGCGCUAAAGUACUUUGAGUUGGACAAGCGUAGAAACGUAUGUGGUUGCUAAAAAAACAUGAAUUUCUUUUGUUGGGCAUCGGUGUAAUGAAUUUGGGCAAUUUCCGUAGAAAUUGGUGAAUAAAUAUCAAUUUUGAUGUCCCUUGGUCAAAAUCUAUAUGAUAUUAUGCUGCGUCGAUGAAGCUUUCAUCUGGUCGUAUGCAACGUAUUAUCUUGACUCUACUCAGAAAUCCUUAUUGAUAUAAAAUAAAAACAACCACAAAAGAACGCUUUAAUUAAAAAUAUUGGGCAUUGUUUGCAACUUUUUUGUCGUGUGAUAUAACCGGUUUUGGACCAGUGCGGUAAUAGCAGGAACAAACCUCAGCAGCACACCGAGAAGAAUAAUCCUUAGUCGAUGCAUAUGCCUAUACCUUAUAUACGAGUAAUUAAAUUCCGCGAUAAUUAAAGCCAGCGACGCGACGUACCUACGCAAUAUCCUGUAUUAAUAAAUACUUUGAUGUAGUAGUUAAUUCUG